UCAGCCGGCCGGGCAGCCGCUCCGGACGCGCGAGCGUUCGGGGAGGAAAGUCCGGGCUCCAUGGAGAGACGGUGCCGGAUAACCUCCGGCGGGGGCGACCCCAGGGACAGUGCCACAGAGAGCAGACCGCCCCGGAUCCGUCCGGGGUCAGGGUGAAAGGGUGCGGUAAGAGCGCACCGCGGACGCGGCAACGCGGACGGCACGGCAAACCCCACCGGGAGCAAGACCGAAUAGGGGCGGCGCGCCCUUCGCGAGAAGGGCAGGCCGGCUCUCCAGGCCAGUCGCCCGGGUUGGUUGCUCGAGGCGGUCGGCAACGAUCGUCCCAGAGGAAUGGCUGCCACGUCGGCGCGCGCGAGCGCUCCGGCCCUACAGAACCCGGCUUACAGGCCGGCUGAUCCA
rfam:Methylobacterium radiotolerans JCM 2831, complete genome.